GGGUUGUGAGGUUAAGCGACUAAGCGUACACGGUAGAUGCCCUGGCAGUCAGAGGCGAU
rnacentral:rRNA from 1 species